AUGAACGCUGGCGGCGUGCCUAAUACAUGCAAGUCGAGCGAACGGACGAGAAGAUUGCUUUUCUGAUGUUAGCGGCGGACGGGUGAGUAACACGUGGAUAACCUACCUAUAAGACUGGGAUAACUUCGGGAAACCGGAGCUAAUACCGGAUAAUAUUUUGAACCGCAUGGUUCAAAAGUGAAAGACGGUCUUGCUGUCACUUAUAGAUGGAUCCGCGCUGCAUUAGCUAGUUGGUAAGGUAACGGCUUACCAAGGCAACGAUGCAUAGCCGACCUGAGAGGGUGAUCGGCCACACUGGAACUGAGACACGGUCCAGACUCCUACGGGAGGCAGCAGUAGGGAAUCUUCCGCAAUGGGCGAAAGCCUGACGGAGCAACGCCGCGUGAGUGAUGAAGGUCUUCGGAUCGUAAAACUCUGUUAUUAGGGAAGAACAUAUGUGUAAGUAACUGUGCACAUCUUGACGGUACCUAAUCAGAAAGCCACGGCUAACUACGUG
rnacentral:rRNA from 1 species